AAAUAUGAGCUUUCAUUGAUAACAAGUAUAUGUACAUCAGAGCAUGAUAGUAGUUCUGGACUAACUACUAUACUAAUACAAAUCUUUCUUCUCUAUUCUAACUAUGUAUAUACAAUCUAUAGAAUAGUAUGUAAAAUCAAAUCAAAGGCUAUGGAAAAUAAUUGAGUUUGCUAAGUCCUAACUGCCAUUUCUUGUGUUUGCUACCUCGCAAAUGGAUCAGCAGAACAAUCUCACGACAUAGCAAAUCCUCCACAUAUGUGACACCAUCAAAUCUCAUUUGGUUCCUCAUUUUCCAGAUUAGUGCAAUAGUAGUAAUGAAUGCAGCAGCUGUAAUCCCUUUAUGCCACUGUCUGCUCUUGGCUAAGCUGCAAAUCCAGUGUAAUUCAGUCUCCCAGCAGCCUAUAUUCCGAGAAUAUCCUAACCAUUUGCAGACUCUUUGCCAAAGUCUAUUUGUACAAGCACA
rnacentral:lncRNA from 1 species